UGGGGAAUCUUGCGCAAUGGGCGAAAGCCUGACGCAGCAACGCCGCGUGUGUGAUGAAGGUCUUCGGAUCGUAAAGCACUGUCGGCAGGAACGAGGGUUAGGGAUUCUAAUAAAGUCCCUGAUUGACGGUACCUGCAAAGGAAGCACCGGCUAACUCUGUGCCAGCAGCCGCGGUAAUACAGAGGGUGCAAGCGUUGUUCGGAAUCAUUGGGCGUAAAGCGCACGUAGGCGGUCUGCUAAGUCGGGUGUGAAAGCCCCAGGCUCAACCUGGGAAGUGCACUCGAAACUGGCGGACUUGAAUGUCGGAGAGGGUGGUGGAAUUCCGAGUGUAGAGGUGAAAUUCGUAGAUAUUCGGAGGAACACCAGUGGCGAAGGCGACCACCUGGACGAACAUUGACGCUGAGGUGCGAAAGCGUGGGGAGCAAACAG
rnacentral:rRNA from 1 species